rnacentral:rRNA from 1 species
GCUUAAUUGAAUCCCCAUCUAAUCCCUACACCACCUAAGAACCCUUACAUAAUACUGAGUAAUUCUAUACCCCUUAUAGAAGAUUUCAUGUUAAAACUAGUAACAAGAAGAAGAACUUCUCCUAAAUGCAGGUGUAAGUCAAAUAGGACACCCCGCUGACAAUUAACACCCAUGAACAAAAAGUAGUAACUUAACAAGAAAACCCUACUACACCCAGUGUUAACCUAACACCAGAGCAUUACAAGAAAGAUUCAAAGAAAGAGAAGGAACUCGGCAAAUAUUAACCCCGCCUGUUUACCAAAAACAUCGCCUCUUGAAUAACAUAAGAGGUCCAGCCUGCCCAGUGACUCUGUUCAACGGCCGCGGUAUCCUAACCGUGCGAAGGUAGCGUAAUCACUUGUUCUUUAAAUGAGGACUAGUAUGAACGGCACCACGAAGGUUAUACUGUCUCCUCUUUCUAAUCAGUGAAACUAAUCUCCCCGUGAAGAAGCGAGGAUAAACAUAUAAGACCACUNUAAGAGCNCCUAUCGACAAGUGGGUUUACGACCUCGAUGUUGGAUCAGGGUAUCCCGGUGGUGCAGCCGCUACCAAAGGUUCGUUUGUU